GAGUUUGAUCCUGGCUCAGAUUGAACGCUGGCGGCAUGCCUUACACAUGCAAGUCGAACGGUAACAGGUCUUUCGGGAUGCUGACGAGUGGCGAACGGGUGAGUAAUACAUCGGAACGUGCCUAGUAGUGGGGGAUAACUACUCGAAAGAGUGGCUAAUACCGCAUGAGAUCUAUGGAUGAAAGCAGGGGACCUUCGGGCCUUGUGCUACUAGAGCGGCCGAUGGCAGAUUAGGUAGUUGGUGGGAUAAAAGCUUACCAAGCCUACGAUCUGUAGCUGGUCUGAGAGGACGAUCAGCCACACUGGGACUGAGACACGGCCCAGACUCCUACGGGAGGCAGCAGUGGGGAAUUUUGGACAAUGGGGGAAACCCUGAUCCAGCAAUGCCGCGUGCAGGAUGAAGGCCUUCGGGUUGUAAACUGCUUUUGUACGGAACGAAAAGUCUUGGGUUAA
rnacentral:rRNA from 1 species